AAUUAAGUUGGAAAAAAAAAUGAGGAGAGCUCAGGAGGGUGGCUUGUACAUCUGAGAAAUCAGAAGAAUGCGAAGGACACAACCAACGCGGAUGCCAAAUUCAUCACAGCUCAUGCACCAGCCGGGAAUCGAACCCGGGUCUGUACCGUGGCAGGAACGCAAACUUGCUUUUCAAAGUCUUGAAUCAUAACUAAGUUGAAAAAAAAAAGAAAAGGAGAGAGAGCUCAGGGGUGUGGCGAGUACAUCUGGGAAAUCAGAAGAUUGCGAAGGACCCAACCAACGCUGAAGCCAAUAUCAUCACAGCUCAUACACCAGUCGGGAAUCGAACCCGGAUCUGUACCGUUUGCAGGAAAACGACGAGGCAGCUCGAUACAGGGGACAGAGAUGCCCAGCCAUGUAUAUCGUUGGAAAGUCUAGUACUGUAUGUGUAUGUGUGUGUAUGUGCAUGUUUUGUUAGGUUAUUUAUUGGAAGGUUUGGAAGGAACAUAGGUUUUGUACAACUUUUACCAAAAUUUCUCGACGACAACAUCAUCGACAAGCUCGACAAAUAUAAUCUAACAUAACAGUAGUAGAAAACUAGAAAACCUGACAAAACUAGUUUUACAAACAAUAACA